UAGGGAAUCUUCCGCAAUGGGCGAAAGCCUGACGGAGCAACGCCGCGUGAGUGAUGAAGGUCUUCGGAUCGUAAAACUCUGUUAUUAGGGAAGAACAAAUGUGUAAGUAACUAUGCACGUCUUGACGGUACCUAAUCAGAAAGCCUCGGCUAACUACGUGCCAGCAGCCGCGGUAAUACGUAGGUGGCAAGCGUUAUCCGGAAUUAUUGGGCGUAAAGCGCGCGUAGGCGGUUUUUUAAGUCUGAUGUGAAAGCCCACGGCUCAACCGUGGAGGGUCAUUGGAAACUGGAAAACUUGAGUGCAGAAGAGGAAAGUGGAAUUCCAUGUGUAGCGGUGAAAUGCGCAGAGAUAUGGAGGAACACCAGUGGCGAAGGCGACUUUCUGGUCUGUAACUGACGCUGAUGUGCGAAAGCGUGGGGAUCAAACAGG
rnacentral:rRNA from 1 species